GGUAGCUCAGGUGGUAGAGCACGGCCCUGAAAAGGCCGGUGUCCCCAGUUCGAAUCUGGGCC
rnacentral:tRNA from 1 species